rnacentral:misc_RNA from 1 species
GAUGAAGAACGCAGCGAAAUGCGAUAAGUAAUGUGAAUUGCAGAAUUCAGUGAAUCAUCGAAUCUUUGAACGCACAUUGCGCCCCUUGGUAUUCCGAGGGGCAUGCCUGUUCGAGCGUCAUUAUAACCCCUCAAGCUCAGCUUGGUGUUGGGGCCUGCUGCACUGGCAGCCCUUAAAAUCAGUGGCGGCGCCAUCUGGCUCUAAGCGUAGUAAUUCUUCUCGCUAUGGAGUCCUGGUGGAUGCUUGCCAUCAACCCCCCAUUUUUCUAUGGUUGACCUCGGAUCAGGUAGGGAUACCCGCUGAACUUAAGCAUAUCAAUAAGCGGAGGA